rnacentral:rRNA from 1 species
CAGCCGCCACGGGAACACGAAGGGGGCUAGCGUUGCUCGGAAUGACUGGGCGUAAAGGGCGCGUAGGCGGCGAUCAAAGUCAGGCGUGAAAUUCCUGGGCUCAACCUGGGGGCUGCGUUUGAUACUUGGUUGCUUGAGUGGGGAAGAGGGUCGUGGAAUUCCCAGUGUAGAGGUGAAAUUCGUAGAUAUUGGGAAGAACACCGGUGGCGAAGGCGGCGACCUGGUCCUUUACUGACGCUGAGGCGCGAAAGCGUGGGGAGCAAACAGGAUUAGAUACCCCAGUAGUCCCUGUCUCUUAUAC